rnacentral:sRNA from 1 species
AGGUGCCGGCCCUGCCACAGCCCCUAGCAGCUCUCAGUGGCCCCAUCCCAAAAGUGGGUUAGGGGUGUGGGGUCCUGCCUGGCCUCCCCUCCCUGGCAUAACUCCUCUGGCCAGCACUCAGACUGAGGACCCAGGUCCCUUGGAGAGCAGCUCUCCUUGCCUCCCAAGGGCUCAGAUGCUGCUGGCAGAGGUGUCUCGGGAGCGGGGUGAGCUGCAGGGUGAACGCGGGGAGCUACGGGGCCGGCUGGCGCGGCUGGAGCUGGAGCGGGCACAGCUGGAGAUGCAGAGCCAGCAGCUGCGCGAGUCCAACCAGCAGCUGGACCUGAGCGCCUGCCGGCUGACCACGCAGUGUGAGCUAUUGACACAGCUGCGAAGUGCCCAGGAAGAGGAGAACCGGCAGCUGCUGGCUGAAGUUCAGGCCCUGAGCCGGGAGAACAGGGAGCUCCUGGAGCGCAGCCUGGAGAGCCGGGACCACCUGCACCGCGAACAGCGGGAGUACCUGGACCAGCUUAAUGCCCUGCGCCGCGAGAAGCAGAAGCUCGUGGAGAAGAUCAUGGACCAAUAUCGCGUGCUGGAGCCUGGGCCCCUGCCCCGGACCAAGAAGGGCAGCUGGCUGGCAGACAAGGUGAAGAGGCUGAUGCGGCCCCGGCGGGAGGGGGGCCCCCCUGGGGGGCUGCGCCUGGGGGCCGAUGGGGCUGGCAGCACCGAGAGCCUGGGGGGCCCCCCGGAGACGGAGCUUCCUGAGGGCAGGGAGGCAGAUGGGACAGGGUCCCCUUCCCCAGCACCCAUGCGCCGGGCCCAGAGCUCCCUCUGCCUGCGGGAUGAGACCUUGGCAGGCGGGCAGCGGCGGAAACUCAGCUCAAGGUUCCCGGUGGGGCGAAGCUCUGAGUCAUUCAGCCCUGGGGACACCCCUAGGCAACGAUUCCGACAGCGCCGUCCAGGCCCCCUGGGGGCACCCAUCUCCCACAGCAAAGGUGAGGGACAAGGGUCACUGUACCAGCCAGCCCCCCAACUCUUUGUGGACCCACCAGCUCCUUGGGGGAGGAGGCUUCCUUCUUGUCCCCUGUGUCUCCUGCAAGCUCUGUCUACUUCCGCACUGGCCCUGGGCCCAGUGGUUGCCUUGUGCCUCCCAGGACCUGGUGUGGGAUGGGAGAACUCCGCUGAGACCCUCCAGGAGCACGAAACAGAUGCCAGCCGAGAGGGUGAGUGGGGGCCUGCGGAAGGAGUAGUAUUCUUUGUACCACCUGGGGCUCCUGGCAGAACCUCAUUCAUCCAUUCUCUCAUUUGACAAUGAUCCUUUAACAAGUGCCAGGUGACGUGCUGGCAGGGGACACAGCAGGGAACGUUCUGGUGUGAGGAGGCAGAUAGUAAACAAUUUGCCUAAAAAUAAUUAUUAUCUACAACAGCCCUGUCCACCAGAAAUAUGGUGUGAACCACAUGAUAAUUUUAACUUUUCCAGUAGGCUCACCAGAAAAAGUGAAAAGAGACAGGUAAAAUGGGUUUUAAUAACAUUUAACUCAAUAUGCCUACGCUAUUACCAUUUCAGCAUGUAGCCAGUGUAAAAAUCAUGAAUGAGCUAUUAGACGUGAUUUUUUUUUUUUUUUUUGAGAUGGAGUUUCGCUCUUUGGCUCACUGCGACUUCUGCCUCCCAGGUUCAAACAAUUCUCCUGGCUCAGCCUCCCAAGUAGCUGGGAUUACAGGCAUGGGCCACCAAGCCAGGCUAAUUUUGUAUUAUUAUUAUUUUUUUUUUAAGUAGAGACAGGAUUUCACCAUGUUGGUCAGGCUGGUCUCGAACUCCUGACCUCAGAUGAUCCACCUGCUUUGGCCUCCCAAAGUGCUGGGAUUAUAGGCGUGAGCCACUGCACCCAGCCAGACGUGAUUUUUUUCAUAGUAAGUCUUCGGCAGUUUGGGAGGCCAAGGCAGGCAGAUCACUUGAGGCCAGAAGUUAGAGAUCAGCCUAGCCAACAUGGUGAAAUCCCGUCUCUACUAAAAAUACAAAAAUUAGCCAGGCAUGGUGCCCCAUGCCUGUAAUACCACUUACUCAGGGGGCUGAGGCAGGAGAAUCGCUUGAACCUGGGAGGCAGAGGGUGCAGUGAGCCAAGAUCACGCCAUUGCACUCCAGCCUCGGUGACAGAGUGAGACUGUCUCAAAAACAAAAAACAAAAAAACACAGUAGGUCUUUGAAGCAUGUCACAGGCCAGCCCCAUCUCACCUACUUAGCUCCGCCCUGGGCAGCUCAGCCCUAGACCCGGCUGGACCAUCAGGAGGCGCUAAUGCUCUGGGAAGAAAGGAGAGCAGGGGAGGGGUCAGGAGCUCAGGAGCUCUGGGCAGGCUGGUUGGAGUUUUAGUAACUGGGGUGCUGGGGUGGGCCUCAGAGAGGAGGUGAAAUUGGAGCAAAGACUUGGAGGGGAGAGUUUGUCCGUGUGGACAUACCUGAGAACAGCAUUCCGGGCUGAGGGAACAGCAGGCGUGGUGCAGCUGGAAGCGGGGGGUAUUGGCAGGUUGGGGGUGGGCAGAAGGUGCUCGAGCCUGUGGGCCUCCUGGGACUCUGGGAGUCCUCCUGAGGGAGGCGGGUCUGAGCUGAGCCUUUUCCUCUAGGCCCCGAGGUACAGGAACCGGAGAAACGUCCCCUCACCCCGUCCCUCAGCCAGUGACGCCGUGGGGACAGCAGGCUUGGGAGUGCAGCCUUCUCGGCACUGGAGUGUCAGCGGAGGCCCCAGGCAGCCCAAGAGCUCAGGGAGCCAGGGCCCCCAAGGGGAGUCUUUGGACAAGGAGGCCUGGGCCCUGAGAUCCUCCACGGUCAGCGCCGGGGCCCGGAGAUGGAGCCGGGACGAGUGUGUGGACAGGGGGGACGGCUGGCCCCCACGAGCAGCUCCAGGCCGGGGUUCUGCUUCUUCCAGGUGGCUCCCGCUGAGGCAGCGGUCUCUGGGGGAUCCCCCAGCUGAAGGAGGCCGGCAGGAGUUGGCAAGAGAACCCCCUGCCCUGUCCAGGUGGAGAGCUGAGUCCCAGUACUGGGGGACUGUGGCCUGGGCUGAUCUUGAGCCUUAACUGGACAUGAGGGACAUGAGAAUAAAGCUGAACUGCAGCC